rnacentral:rRNA from 1 species
GACGAACCGUGCGAACGUUGUUCGGAUUCACUGGGCUUAAAGGGCGCGUAGGCGGGCGGUCAAGUCAGGGGUGAAAUCUUUCGGCCUAACCGGAAAAGGGCCUCUGAUACUGGCCGUCUCGAGGGAGGUAGGGGCAUGCGGAACUUCCGGUGGAGCGGUGAAAUGCGUAGAUAUCGGGAGGAACACCAGUGGCGAAGGCGGCUCACUGGACCGACACUGACGCUGAGGAGCGAAAGCCAGGGGAGCAAACGGG